AUUAAAUUAAUUAAUUAAUUAAUUUAAUAAAGUGGAAGAGGGGUAAAAGUGUAAUUUUACGAAUAAAUACCCUAGGUAUAAAUUAGAAAUUUUAUUCUUUCCCUUCUUUUCUGAAUAGAGUUCCUGUUCGCAGAAUUCCAGAGAACGUAAGGUUGGAGUCAGAUUUCAGGGUUGAAGAACAAAUCUCUAUAGGUACUCUUAGUUCGGGUGAGGAGUGAUGGCUAGGCUGAGGAAUGGUCAUCAUUAGGAUUUGACUUAGGAUUUUAUGUUGGAUUUUGUUUAACUAUUAGUUAUGUUAUUUUGGAUCAUUUGGUAUUUGGAAGUUAUUUGAAAAUUGAAUUUUGAGGAAUUUAGAUUUUGUUCCGCUACUCUGAACAGGUAUUUGGUAAUUGGUAACAUCUAGUUACAAUA